rnacentral:tRNA from 1 species
AGUUUUGUAGUUUAUUAAAAACUUUAAGUUGCAAACUUAACAAUACCAAAAAUGGUCAAAACUU